ensembl:lncRNA
UGUCUCUUGCUCUCUGACACUUACUGCUUCUGAGGAAUAGAAGGGACAGACUUUAUCACCAACAGAUUAAAAAUAGAGAAGGGAGACUGAGGAAAGGCAUCCAGCCUCGAUCAUCGAGCAUUGGUCAAACAUGUGAUCAUCAGAAGCGAGGGGACCUUACUGGAAUCUAACAAUCGUGAUCCUGAUGCUGCUGAGCCCACAUGUGUGAGAAUCCAUGACUUCUGGAGAGAUCGAUGGCUUUGUGUGGCUGAUGUCCUCAGAGACUCUGGUAGAGCAGCUUGACUUGUGGGGCAAUACUAGUUGACCAACCAAAACCAGCAUGCACAUGCCCAAAUCAUGACUCAGGAAUAAUGGUAACCAGCAUUAAAAAUGGUCAUUCAAAUGAUCAUUAGCUGAAUCUAGUCAUUUGUAGGAACAUGCUUUUCACUUUAUAAUUGUGUUA